rnacentral:rRNA from 1 species
GAUGAACGCUGGCGGCGUGCCUAAUACAUGCAAGUCGAGCGAACAGACGAGGAGCUUGCUCCUCUGACGUUAGCGGCGGACGGGUGAGUAACACGUGGAUAACCUACCUAUAAGACUGGGAUAACUUCGGGAAGCCGGAGCUAAUACCGGAUAAUAUAUUGAACCGCAUGGUUCAAUAGUGAAAGACGGUUUUGCUGUCACUUAUAGAUGGAUCCGCGCCGCAUUAGCUAGUUGGUAAGGUAACGGCUUACCAAGGCAACGAUGCGUAGCCGACCUGAGAGGGUGAUCGGCCACACUGGCACUGAGACACGGUCCAGACUCCUACGGGAGGCAGCAGUAGGGAAUCUUCCGCAAUGGGCGAAAGCUUGACGGAGCAACGCCGCGUGAGUGAUGAAGGUCUUCGGAUCGUAAAACUCUGUUAUUAGGGAAGAACAAAUGUGUAAGUAACUAUGCACGUCUUGACGGUACCUAAUCAGAAAGCCACGGCUAACUACGUG